UACCAGCACCCCCGAGUGGUCGGGACGAUUAUUGGGCCUAAAGCAUCCGUAGCCGGUCAUGCAAGUCUUCCGUUAAAUCCAGCCGCUCAACGGUUGGGCUGCGGAGGAUACUACGUGGCUAGGAGGCGGGAGAGGCAAGCGGUACUCAGUGGGUAGGGGUAAAAUCCGUUGAUCCAUAGAAGACCACCAGUGGCGAAGGCGGCUUGCCAGAACGCGCUCGACGGUGAGGGAUGAAAGCUGGGGGAGCAAACCGG
rnacentral:rRNA from 1 species